AUUGAACGCUGGCGGCAGGCCUAACACAUGCAAGUCGAACGAGUGGCGGACGGGUGAGUAAUGUCUGGGAAACUGCCUGAUGGAGGGGGAUAACUACUGGAAACGGUAGCUAAUACCGCAUACCCUCAGAUGUGCCCAGAUGGGAUUAGCUGGUUGGUGGGGUAACGGCUAACCAAGGCGACGAUCCCUCGCUGGUCUGAGAGGAUGACCAGCCACACUGGAACUGCGCCACGGGCCAGACUCCAACGGUAGGCAGCAGUGGGGAAUAGUGCACAAUGGGCGAAAGCCUGAUGCAGCCAUGCCGCGGGUAUGAAGAAGGCCUGCGGGUUGUAAAGUACUUUCAGCGGGGAGGCGUUACCCGCAGAAGAAGCACCGGCUAACUCCGUGCCAGCAGCCGCGGUAAUUC
rnacentral:rRNA from 1 species